rnacentral:sRNA from 1 species
AUUGAUGCAGAUGGAAGUGGCCCCCUGGGACCAUUUCUUGUGUACUGCAAUAUGACAGACUCCGCGUGGACGGUGGUGCGGCACGGUGGCCCCGACGCGGUGACCCUCCGAGGUGCCCCCAGCGGGCACCCGCGCUCGGCUGUGUCCUUCGCGUACGCAGCGGGCGCGGGGCAGCUGCGGGCCGCGGUGAACCUGGCGGAGCGCUGCGAGCAGCGGCUGGCUCUGCGCUGCGGGACAGCGCGGCGCCCGGACUCACGAGAUGGAACCCCACUGAGCUGGUGGGUUGGAAGAACCAAUGAAACACACACUUACUGGGGAGGUUCUCUGCCUGAUGCUCAAAAGUGUACUUGUGGAUUAGAGGGGAACUGCAUUGAUUCUCAGUAUUACUGCAACUGUGAUGCUGGCCGGAAUGAAUGAGUCAUUUUGGAAUUCAGCUUCCUUCAACACUGAGACUUCAUACCUUCAUUUCCUUGCUUUCCACGGAGAACUCACUGCUGACGUGUGCUUCUUUUUUAAGACCACAGUUUCCUCCGGGGUGUUUAUGGAGAACCUGGGGAUCACAGACUUCAUCAGGAUUGAGCUGCGGGGUAAGCUGGCCACUCUGGACAAGUCACAGGGUACCCAUUAUUUAGCAAUAAAAGCUUUAAUUCAA